AUUCAUCUGACGAGUCCCAAAUAGGAUGAAACGCGCGUACUAAAU
rfam:Schistosoma rodhaini strain Burundi genome assembly, scaffold: SROB_scaffold0000876